rnacentral:rRNA from 1 species
UACGUAGGGUGCGAGCGUUGUCCGGAAUUAUUGGGCGUAAAGAGCUCGUAGGCGGUUUGUUGCGUCGGCUGUGAAAACCUACAGCUUAACUGUGGGCCUGCAGUCGAUACGGGCAGACUUGAGUUCGGCAGGGGAGACUGGAAUUCCCGGUGUAGCGGUGAAAUGCGUAGAGUAUCGGGAGGAACACCAGAGGCGAAGGCG